rnacentral:rRNA from 1 species
CGCUGGCGGCAUGCCUAACACAUGCAAGUCGAACGGAGUAAUGACUUCGGUUAUUACUUAGUGGCGAACGGGUGAGUAACACGUGAAUAAUCUGCCCUGUACGAUGGGAUAACAGCUGGAAACGGCUGCUAAUACCGUAUAUGACCACGCCGAGGCAUCUCGGAGGGGUGAAAGCGCUUAAGCGGUACAGGAUGAGUUCGCGUCCAAUUAGCUAGUUGGUGAGGUAACGGCCCACCAAGGCGACGAUUGGUAGCCGACCUGAGAGGGUGAUCGGCCACACUGGAACUGAGACACGGUCCAGACUCCUACGGGAGGCAGCAGUGGGGAAUAUUGGGCAAUGGAGGAAACUCUUACCCAGCCAAUGCCGCGUGAGUGAUGAAGGUCUUCGGAUUGUAAAGCUCUUUGAUUGGGGACGAAUAAAUGACGGUACCCAAGGAACAAGCCCCGGCUAACUAUGUGCCAGCCGCUGC